GUGCUGCAUUUUUCGCAGUCGUUCCUGGUUAGGUCUUAAAAUGUAUAUAUUCUCACUUGCAUUACAAACCCUAACAUCCUAAUAUUAAUUCCACCAAGUGAAGUGCAAGAAUUUAAGUUAUUCAAGUCCACCUUAUCACAACCCGCACACCCGAUUACGUAUAUAUACUGUACAUGAACUUACGGUUACAGCUCAACAGCU